AUUAUGUAAUGAAUUACUGGAAUUGAUUUGGUUAAGUGCAACUACGGUCUCUGUUCAGUGCGCUCUCUGCUUAGCAACGGUCUUUGCUCAGUUUAUCACCUGCGCGUGUGGAAGAUGCCCGUGUGCUUCUCGGUUUUACCUGAUCUUUUUUUUUGAAUAUCACUCCGCGACACACGCUGCAGCGUUGUGGUUCAGCAGCAGAUGAUGAUGCGCUGUCAGCCACUGAUUUGUCAUUCACACUCGCCAUCAAAUUGACCCAUGCUAGCAACAAGUUCUGACUGAGCUCAAUCGUCAUGAGAAGCCAAUACACCGAUGAGUUUCUCGCUCUUUCAUACAAACUUUGAGAAAUAACGAGGAGCUCCCUCAAUGUGUUUUGUGCGGGAAAGUGCUUAGUAAUGACUCAUUCAAAACGAACAAAUUCAUAUAACGACACGUCCUGACGGUAACGUUAUACCAAAGGAAUUAUUUCAGAAGAGGGCAGAAUGCUUCAGGAAACAGUGCUUCGACGGUGGAAAAGAGAGGGAAUCCUCUGCAUGCAAUUUGACUGAGGAUGAGCACAACACUUUUAGAAUGCACUGUGCUGGAGGCAAGCGCCAAAUUCCCAGGAGUCAAACAAGAGCAUGUUGGGACGGUAUUCAUGAAAUGGGCACAAUGAGCAGUGGGAACAACACUGCUCUCAAGUCAGAGGCAGACACUGAGGGAAUGAUCCAGACAAAACAGCAGUCAGGAGCUGAACACAGUGAAGGUGUCUUCCUAAGUCUGAACCCAAUUUUUUUGAACUCGGCCUCCCAGACGCCGAAGACUCCUCGUGUUCCUACGCCACAGACACCAGAAGACAGUCGACGCAGUUCUCAGACACCCCAGCGAGAGCAGCACCGCCGCUGCAUCGACGCCAGCAUAGCUCCAAUACAGAUUCCCCCAAGACAGGCAAGGAACCGCUACACUGCGGCAAGACUUUAAGCCAAUACCCAGUACUAGAGGCACAUGAAAGAGUGUACACAGUGGAGAAGACGUAUAUGUGCGACGCGUGCGGCAGGGGUUUUCGCAAGUCGGAAAUCGCAACAUGCACCUAAAGUUUCACGCCGGCGAGAAGCAGUUCGUCUGCACGUUGUGUGGGAGGAAGUUCAUGACCUUGAGUCACAUGAACAUCCAUGGUAAAGGGAAGGCGGUCAAAUGUUGCAAGUGCAGGAAGUGGUUCCUGGAUAUAGACACGGCGCAGCACGGUGUGACCAACACCAACACUAACCUUCUCAGCUGUGAGGAAAGUUGUUCGCUCUAGCCUGUCAUCUGAACAGACGGAGACAGAAACAAUGCCAGUCACAAUGAACAACAGAAUCAAUGGUUGUCUGUCUCUAUCUUUCUGUGUUUGUCUGUCCGUCGGUCAUUACGAAGAGAAGGCUGAUGAACGUGAUAGACUUGGUGGCUCAGGGUCUGAGUCCUUGCCUUCCAUUCAUGGGUUCAAAUCCCAUUUAUUGUGCAUUAGUGGACAUUUCCACAAAUGUCAAUGUCAAAAUGACAAAGAAAACUAUUAAAUGUGAAAGAUGGUUGCUCUAGGGUCGAGUUCAUGCUUUUCAUCCGUGAGUUAUGUGUUCGAAAACCCAUCUCUUUCUCUUCUGCUUUAGUCACUGAAUGUCGAUGUCUAAACUACAAAGAGAAGUGUAAUGAGUGUGAAGGAGUCUGUGGCUGGAUCUCACCCAAUAAGCACAGGGCUGUAGGUUUGAACCCAGUGCUCUGGAAGAGGGUUACCUCACCACUGAGGACUCCACUGGGUGGGACUGAAACACAUAGAAUGGCACAAUAAAUAGGUUUGGUUAAAUCUUGUGGUUUCAGAACAGUAAUCAGCAGUGGCUACGGAGGGAAACCUCUGGGAAAAGUAGACAACCCAAUGCUUACAAGGCGAAAGCUUUAUGACUGAGCCAACACCUCCUUCACGCUUCGCAAGCGUCGCUUCACUUCUCUUCCUAUGAUAGAGUUAAGGAAACAUUGAAGAGUACACUAAUAAGCCCAUGUUGGAGCUGAAGAUGGCAGUCUGUUAGCUCUGUGGCACCCACAUUGGGUUUCCCUGUGACCUCUACUAGUCAGGGUCAAUAAUGCUGGUCAAUAAUGCCGGCAUCAACAGGCUUUCUAUAUGUCACCCAGCAUCAAUUGGAGGUAGCUGUAGUUGGAUACAUGGCAUCUCUACGCCAGCCAGCUCUCCCUCAGACACUUGCCUGGAGGCCUGGUCACAUCAGACAAAUACCUCGGGGCAGAAUCACAUCAGCAUGUAAACACACCUCACUUCUGGAGCGAUCAGACCAUUCAGGCCACACCUCUGAACACACCUUACUACAGCUCACCGUAACUAUCAUGUGAACCAGCGGUAUUCAAAUCUUACCCUAUAAGGUCUAGAGCCUGCUGGUUUUCUGUUUUACCUGAUAAUUAAUUGCGCCCACCUGGUGUCCCAGGUCUAAAUCAGCCCCUGAUUGAAGGGGAAGAAUGAAAAAGACAACAGUGGAACUGGCUUCGACAUCUGGGGGGUCCGUAUCCACAAAGUGUCUCAGAGUGCUGAUCUAGGAUCAGUUUAGCCUUUUAAUUCAUAAUGAAUAAGACUGAAUGGACAGAUACAUUUAUUAAAAACACAUUCCACCAAAUACUAAUAUAUAUUUUGAUAUGAGGAAGAAAAGCCUUAUGCAUGUAUUUUAUUUAACUAGGCAAGUCAGUUAAG